GGAAUUUUCCGCAAUGGGCGAAAGCCUGACGGAGCAAUACCUCGUGAGUGAUGAAGGCUUUAGGGUCGUAAAGCUCAGUCAGCAGGGAAGAAGGGUUUUGACGGUACCUGCAGAGGAAGCCACGGCUAAUUACGUGCCAGCAGCCGCGGUAAUACGUAAGUGGCAAGCGUUGUCCGGAUUUACUGGGCGUAAAGAACGCGUAGGCGGUUUUCUAAGUUGGGGGUGAAAACCUGAGGCCCAACCUCAGGCCUGCCUCCAAAACUGGGGAACUAGAGUUUCGGAGAGGAAGAUGGUAUUCCAUGUGUAGCGGUGAAAUGCGUAGAUAUAUGGGAGAACACCAAUGGCGAAAGCAGUCUUCUGGACGAACACUGACGCUGAGGCGUGAAAGCGUGGGUAGCGAACAGGAUUAGAUACCCCUGUAGUC
rnacentral:rRNA from 1 species